GGUUUCUAAAUUUUAGUCUCAGCAUUAAUUCAGUGUUACUUCAAUUUCCGCUUCUCAGAAAGUGGGCAUUGCCUGAUAAUUAAGCUUAUCUGGGCUUGCAGGCUUCGUGAACCCAGGGGAACUUCUGGCACUCUCCUGGUUUUAAUUGCCACUGUUGUGAAGAGAGAUGGCAUUAGCUUAAUAAGGAGAGCUGUGAGCCACAAAACCACAAUUAGGUCUUUCCCUUUGGUUGGUGAACCAUCACGUGUGAGCCAGAAGAGAGUAUAAAAAAGGUUUGAUGCUGCCAAUGGAUAUGUGGUAGAAAGAAAUCCAGAGGGCCCAGUGAAUGCAUGGUUAACCUUGAGAUAACAUUUCUGGAGAGGACUAGGGGGAGAAUGGGAGAUGACCUCUUAGCUAGAAUGUAUAGUAUGAGAACCUCAUCACUUAACUGACUUUUAAAACUAAACCUGCAAUCAAAAAGGGACACACACACACACACACACACACACACACACACACACACACUCAUUUACAAACAUUGCCAUGUAGUCAGAAGUUGGAGAACAGCUGUUGUUACAAUACAAGAGUACUCAAAUGGGAGAAUGGCAGUUUUAAUUGCUAGGAACCCUAAGGGCAAGCUAUACACAGCAAUAUGAAUUAGGUGCUGUGGGACAAAGAGAACAACUUCUGCGUGGAUAGGCCAUCUGCACUACAAUGAUCUUGCCAAGAAACAUGCAAAUCUGAAAUUGACAUUGCAAAAAAGAUCCCAGGACCUUGGCUCCUCCACAAUUUUCUGGGCCAUCUUGGGUGAGACAGCUUCCAGGCCAGUCUGGCAGCCAAAGCAAGCAAAGAAUAUGUGUCUUGGCUAGUUUCUUCUGCUAUUUUAAUUCAGUGAGAAUCUUUGAGAAAAGACAUCUGUGAUAAAAGCAAGAUUCAGAGGUGAAGAGAAGCCCCCCCUCCCCAGGCAUGUACCACACUGAAGAAAGGCUACAGGAACACACAAUGAGAAGGUAGCCAUCUGUAAGCCAGGAAGCGGGACCUCACCAGAAACUGAUUCUGAAUUGGCCUGCAUCUUGACCUUGGA